rnacentral:lncRNA from 1 species
GGCAUUUUUACUUAUAACCCUUGAGUCCAGGAAUAUCUAACUUCAGUUAUGACUGGAUCCAGGGACUUAAAUGAUAUCACUAGAAUUCGCUUCUCCCCAUCCCUCUGCUCUGCCUGCUGCCUCGUUGGUUUCAUUCCCAGUCUCCUUGGUGUUUGACUGGCUACUCUAAGUUCUCAUGAUUAUGACACGUCCAGAAUGAGGGUGAGUUUCCCUACCAGCUCAACAAAAAUCCAAGAGCAUUGGCUUGGAUUGGCCUGACUCAUCCCAUCCUCGAACCAAUCCCGGGGGCUAGGGGAGUGGAGGAAGCCAACUGGUCAUGCGCUGUAGCCCCAGACUCGGGUAGGGAGUCAGUGUCACUGGUUGACAAUAAGGAAGGGAAGAGAAGUGGUCCUCAAAUGAAAAUUAGGAUGUUAUCAUAGAAAGGAAGAGUGGAUGCUGCAGAGGAAAGAUAACAAAUGACUAUUACAAUGGUGUAAAAGGAAACCCAUAGAGAAGAAAGAUGACAGAAUGUCCCCACCUCAAAGGCCAGCUCCAGUUGAUUGCUCGUGGCUCUCUGGAAUGUCACAUUGAGAAAGUGUCUGAGACUAAGCCAAAGAAAAAUACAGUGUCAUAAUGGAUUAGAAAUGUCUGCCACGUGCUACAAAACUGUUGACUGCUAGGCCUAGGAAGCUACCAGUGGCUGGUUUGGUGGUUGCAUUUAUAGAUGAUCUAUGUGUAGCAGCAUCAGAAAAGGGACAGGUUGUCGUUCCCUUCACCACUCCUGCCUUGGACUACAAAACCCUGGACCAAACCAUCACCAGCUGUCUCCUGGACAUAGAACAGUUUUCAACUACUGUCCCCAAAUCUAUUCUUGCCCUCCUGGACCCUCUACUGUGCUGCAGCUAGUAUGAUCAGAAAAGACAGGGAAGAGUUACCAGUCCCCAGGAAAAGCUGUGGCUGUAGGAAAGGGCUCUCUGCCAGGAGCCCCUGAGUGGAAUCAAUGAAGGAGUAGGCCUGCAGUAGAAUGAAUGAAUGAAUGAAUGAAUAAAGAAUAAAUACCGCAGCCUGUCUGUCCUCUCCUUGUUUCCAUGUCCUCUGGCACCUUCCAUUGACUAAACCCAACUCAAAUGUAGACAGCAGGAAGGCCCAGGG